rnacentral:rRNA from 1 species
UACAGAGGUCUCAAGCGUUGUUCGGAUUCAUUGGGCGUAAAGGGUGUGUAGGUGGCGAGCUAAGUCGGGUGUGAAAUUUCGGAGCUUAACUCCGAAACUGCAUUCGAUACUGCGGUGCUUGAGGACUGGAGGGGAGACUGGAAUUCAUGGUGUAGCAGUGAAAUGCGUAGAGAUCAUGAGGAAGACCAGUGGCGAAGGCGGGUCUCUGGACAGUUCCUGACACUGAGGCACGAAGGCCAGGGGAGCAAACGGG